rnacentral:rRNA from 1 species
AUUGAACGCUGGCGGCAGGCCUACCACAUGCAAGUCGAACGAGUGGCGGACGGGUGAGUAAUGUCUGGGAAACUGCCCGAUGGAGGGGGAUAACUACUGGAAACGGUAGCUAAUCCCGCAUACCAUCGGAUGUGCCCAGAUGGGAUUAGCUAGUAGGUGGGGUAACGGCGCACCUGGGCGACGAUCACUAGCUGGUCUGAGCGGCUGACCAUCCACACUGGAAAUUAGACACGGUCCAGACGCCUACGUUAGGAAGCAGUGGGGAAUAUUGCUCAAUGGGCGCAAGCCGUAUGCAGCCAUGCCGCUUGUAUUAAGAAGGCCUUCGGGUUGUAAAGUACUUUCAGCGAGGAGGCGUUACUCGCAGAAGAAGCACCGGCUAACUCCGUGCCAGCAGCCGCGGUAAUUC